rnacentral:tRNA from 1 species
UAUUCUCUUAGUACAACCAGUACCAGUGACUUCCAAUCACUUAAUCUUGGUUAAAACCCAAGAGAGAAUAU